rnacentral:rRNA from 1 species
GAUCAAACCACAAAGGGCAUACGGUGGAUGACUUGGCGUCAAGAGGCGAUGAAGGACGUUGGAACCUGCGAAAAGCUAUAGGGAGCCGGUAACCAGGCUGUGAUCUAUAGAUGUCCGAAUGGGGAAACCCACCCGCAAGGG